CCGAUUCCUUUUCCGUAGGGUGACCUGCGGAGGGAUCAUUACACAAAUAUGAAGGCGGGCUGGAACCUCUCGGGGUUACAGCCUUGCUGAAUUAUUCACCCUUGUCUUUUGCGUACUUCUUGUUUCCUUGGUGGGUUCGCCCACCACUAGGACAAACAUAAACCUUUUGUAAUUGCAAUCAGCGUCAGUAACAAAUUAAUAAUUACAACUUUCAACAACGGAUCUCUUGGUUCUGGCAUCGAUGAAGAACGCAGCGAAAUGCGAUAAGUAGUGUGAAUUGCAGAAUUCAGUGAAUCAUCGAAUCUUUGAACGCACAUUGCGCCCUUUGGUAUUCCAAAGGGCAUGCCUGUUCGAGCGUCAUUUGUACCCUCAAGCUUUGCUUGGUGUUGGGCGUCUUGUCUCUAGCUUUGCUGGAGACUCGCCUUAAAGUAAUUGGCAGCCGGCCUACUGGUUUCGGAGCGCAGCACAAGUCGCACUCUCUAUCAGCAAAGGUCUAGCAUCCAUUAAGCCUUUUUUUCAACUUUUGACCUCGGAUCAGGUAGGGAUACCCGCUGAACUUAAGCAUAUCAUAAAUGGGGAGGAAAGAACCGUUACACAAAUCUGAGGGCGGGAGGAAACUC
rnacentral:rRNA from 1 species